UACAGAGGGUGCAAGCGUUAAUCGGAAUUACUGGGCGUAAAGCGUGCGUAGACGGUCAUCUAAGUCGGGUGUGAAAGCCCCGGGCUCAACCUGGGAAUUGCAUUCGAGACUGAAUGGCUAGGGUGCGGAAGAGGGAAGCGGAAUUUCCGGUGUAGCAGUGAAAUGCGUAGAUAUCGGAAGGAACACCAGUGGCGAAAGCGGCUUCCUGGUCCAGCACCGACGUUCAGGCACGAAAGCGUGGGGAGCAAACAGG
rnacentral:rRNA from 1 species